GGAGCAGUAGCAGAGUGGUGUGCUUCUGUGUGUUGUACAGGGGGUCUUGGGUUCGAUUCCCCACCCA
rnacentral:tRNA from 1 species